rnacentral:rRNA from 1 species
GUUGGGUAGGGGAGCGUUCUGUAAGCCUGCGAAGGUGUACUGUGAGGUAUGCUGGAGGUAUCAGAAGUGCGAAUGCUGACAUAAGUAACGAUAAUGCGGGUGAAAAACCCGCACGCCGGAAGACCAAGGGUUCCUGUCCAACGUUAAUCGGGGCAGGGUGAGUCGACCCCUAAGGCGAGGCUGAAAAGCGUAGUCGAUGGGAAACGGGUUAAUAUUCCCGUACUGGUGGUAACUGCGAUGGGGGAACGGAGAAGGCUAGGUUGUCCGGGCGACGGUCGUCCCGGUUCAAGCAGGUAGGCAGAGUGAUUAGGCAAAUCCGGUCACUUAAUGCUGAGAUGUGAUGACGAACCACUAAGGUGGUGAAGCAAUUGAUGCCCCGCUUCCAGGAAAAGCCUCUAAGCUUCAGGUUACCAACAAUCGUACCCCAAACCGACACAGGUGGUCAGGUAGAGAAUACUCAGGCGCUUGAGAGAACUCGGGUGAAGGAACUAGGCAAAAUGGUGCCGUAACUUCGGGAGAAGGCACGCUGGCGGUAGGUAAAGUCCCUCGCGGACGGAGCUGAAGCCAGUCGAAGAUACCAGCUGGCUGCAACUGUUUAUUAAAAACACAGCACUGUGCAAACACGAAAGUGGACGUAUACGGUGUGACGCCUGCCCGGUGCUGGAAGGUUAAUUGAUGGGGUUAGCCGUAAGGCGAAGCUCCUGAUCGAAGCCCCAGUAAACGGCGGCCGUAACUAUAACGGUCCUAAGGUAGCGAAAUUCCUUGUCGGGUAAGUUCCGACCUGCACGAAUGGCGUAAUGAUGGCCAGGCUGUCUCCACCCGAGACUCAGUGAAAUUGAACUCGCUGUGAAGAUGCAGUGUACCCGCGGCAAGACGGAAAGACCCCGUGAACCUUUACUAUAGCUUGACACUGAACAUUGAGCCUUGAUGUGUAGGAUAGGUGGGAGGCUUUGAAGUGUGGACGCCAGUCUGCAUGGAGCCAACCUUGAAAUACCACCCUUUAACGUUUGAUGUUCUAACCUAGGCCCAUAAACUGGGUCGGGGACCGUGUCUGGUGGGUAGUUUGACUGGGGCGGUCUCCUCCUAAAGAGUAACGGAGGAGCACGAAGGUUGGCUAAGCAUGGUCGGACAUCAUGCGGUUAGUGCAAAGGCAUAAGCCAGCUUGACUGCGAGAGUGACGGCUCGAGCAGGUACGAAAGUAGGUCUUAGUGAUCCGGUGGUUCUGAAUGGAAGGGCCAUCGCUCAACGGAUAAAAGGUACUCCGGGGAUAACAGGCUGAUACCGCCCAAGAGUUCAUAUCGACGGCGGUGUUUGGCACCUCGAUGUCGGCUCAUCACAUCCUGGGGCUGAAGUAGGUCCCAAGGGUAUGGCUGUUCGCCAUUUAAAGUGGUACGCGAGCUGGGUUUAGAACGUCGUGAGACAGUUCGGUCCCUAUCUGCCGUGGGCGUUGGAAGAUUGAGAGGGGUUGCUCCUAGUACGAGAGGACCGGAGUGAACGCACCACUGGUGUUCGGGUUGUCAUGCCAAUGGCAUUGCCCGGUAGCUAAGUGCGGAAGAGAUAACCGCUGAAAGCAUCUAAGCGGGAAACUUGCCUCGAGAUGAGUCUUCCCUGUCGCUUUAAGCGACCUAAAGGAACGUUUAAGACUAAGACGUUGAUAGGCUGGGUGUGUAAGCGUAGCGAUACGUUGAGCUAACCAGUACUAAUGAACCGUGAGGCUUAACCUG